UACGGAGGGUGCAAGCGUUAUCCGGAUUCACUGGGUUUAAAGGGUGCGUAGGCGGACAGGUAAGUCAGUGGUGAAAUCUCCGGGCUUAACCCGGAAACUGCCGUUGAUACUAUUUGUCUUGAAUACUGUGGAGGUAAGCGGAAUAUGUCAUGUAGCGGUGAAAUGCUUAGAUAUGACAUAGAACACCAAUUGCGAAGGCAGCUUACUACACAGCGAUUGACGCUGAGGCACGAAAGCGUGGGGAUCAAACAGG
rnacentral:rRNA from 1 species